UACGUAGGGUGCGAGCGUUGUCCGGAAUUAUUGGGCGUAAAGAGCUCGUAGGCGGUCUGUCGCGUCUGCUGUGAAAUCCCGAGGCUCAACCUCGGGUCUGCAGUGGGUACGGGCAGACUAGAGUGCGGUAGGGGAGAAUGGAACUCCUGGUGUAGCGGUGGAAUGCGCAGAUAUCAGGAAGAACACCGAUGGCGAGGGCAGUUCUCUGGGCCGUAACUGACGCUGAGGAGCGAAAGCGUGGGGAGCGAACAGG
rnacentral:rRNA from 1 species